rnacentral:rRNA from 1 species
GAUGAACGCUGGCGGCGUGCCUAAUACAUGCAAGUCGAGCGAACAGACGAGGAGCUUGCUCCUCUGACGUUAGCGGCGGACGGGUGAGUAACACGUGGAUAACCUACCUAUAAGACUGGGAUAACUUCGGGAAACCGGAGCUAAUACCGGAUAAUAUAUUGAACCGCAUGGUUCAAUAGUGAAAGACGGUUUUGCUGUCACUUAUAGAUGGAUCCGCGCCGCAUUAGCUAGUUGGUAAGGUAACGGCUUACCAAGGCAACGAUGCGUAGCCGACCUGAGAGGGUGAUCGGCCACACUGGAACUGAGACACGGUCCAGACUCCUACGGGAGGCAGCAGUAGGGAAUCUUCCGCAAUGGGCGAAAGCCUGACGGAGCAACGCCGCGUGAAUGAUGAAGGUCUUCGGAUCGUAAAACUCUGUUAUUAGGGAAGAACAAAUGUGUAAGUAACUAUGCAUGUCUUGACGGUACCUAAUCAGAAAGCCACGGCUAACUACGUG